UACGUAGGGGGCGAGCGUUGUCCGGAUUUAUUGGGCGUAAAGAGCGUGUAGGCGGCCAGGUAGGUCUGCUGUGAAAACUCGAGGCUCAACCUCGAGACGUCGGCGGAAACCAUCUGGCUGGAGUCCGGAAGAGGAGAGUGGAAUUCCUGGUGUAGCGGUGAAAUGCGCAGAUAUCAGGAGGAACACCAAUUGCGAAGGCAGCUCGCUGGGACGUUACUGACGCUGAGACGCGAAAGCGUGGGGAGCAAACAGG
rnacentral:rRNA from 1 species